rnacentral:rRNA from 1 species
GUAGGUGGCAAGCGUUGUCCGGAAUUAUUGGGCGUAAAGCGCGCGCAGGCGGUUUCGUUUAAGUCUGAUGUGAAAGCCCACGGGCUCAACCGUGGAGGGUCAUUGGAAACUGGAGAACUUGAGUACAGAAGAGGAAAGCGGAAUUCCACGUGUAGCGGUGAAAUGCGUAGAGAUGUGGAGGAACACCAGUGGCGAAGGCGGCUUUCUGGUCUGUAACUGACGCUGAGGCGCGAAAGCGUGGGGAGCAAACAGGAUUAGAUACCCUGGUAGUCCACGCCGUAAACGAUGAGUGCUAAGUGUUAGGGGGUUUCCGCCCCUUAGUGCUGCAGCUAACGCAUUAAGCACUCCGCCUGGGGAGUACGGCCGCAAGGCUG